AGCACACAAUAUUCCAAGCAUUUCCCACACACACUUGGACAGUCAGAUUGUGGAUCUAUAUUUUUACUCCAGUGCUGCAGGUGUUUGCGGAGGUGGGGGGGGGGUGGAAAUGGAAAAACUGAGCAGUCGCCUUGGGACAUGAGUCCCCAGCAUCUCAUUCCCAGGCCAAGGUCUGAGGAACAGAAGGCAAGGAAGCAAAGCGGGAGGAGAAGGCGACCAGAGCCACACUCUCAUCCGAUGAGCACGGAUUUCUCCCUGCCAGGCUUUGGGCCUAGAACUCACCACAAAGAUAAAGAGACGUGAUCUUUGCCUUUGAUGUGCUUGAACCAGAGACCACUGGGAACGUGACCCAGUGAGCUGGCUGGAGAGGAAUGACUGCCUCUUCCCGGGAGCGAGGGGGAGUUAGUUACAGCAAAGAGGAAGAGAAGAAACCCGAGUGUCCAUAAUCCAUGAGACGGUUGGGUCACCUGACUGGAAUCUGCGGAAGUCCAGACUCGGAGUCGUCCAUACCUUAAGGAACCUUCUGAAGGAAACCCCCCCAAAAACACGCUUGUGUUAGCUCCAGGCUACGCGAGCUCACCCGCGGCUCACGAGCGACCCCUAGCGACCGUGGACCAGGGAAGGCUCUCUCUCUCUCUCUCUCUCUCUCUCUCUCUCUCUCUCUCUCUCUCUCUCUCUCUCUCUCUCUUGUUCCUCUGGGCCUUGGGGCCACUCCAAACCUAUUCGCCCCUCUCCUUCCAAACGAGAGGGGCGCAGAGCUUGCAAGAGGGAAAACCCUGCAAGCCGUCCUUGCAGAGGAGAUCGUGUCUGUAACCAGGAUGUCGCUUCGUUUCGGGGAGCCAGAAGGAUCCUUCCGCCCUCUCCACUGUAGGCAAUGGAGACCUCUGCCCCGUACAGUAGUGCCCAUCAACUGACUACUUGCCUUCCUGAGGCUUUUGUUCUAAGGAGGACAUCGGAGAAAGUGUGUGAGCAAAUAGGUGGACAUCAUCUGAGACUGUGCCACACAUAGCUUAAGGAAAAUUAGGGCUACUGUUGAGAACUAAAGGGUGACCAGAGAAGGGCUCCCCAAAAGCGUGAGAUCUGGGCUGAGACCUUACUGGUAAGAACUAGCAAUGCAAAGAUUUCCGGGAAGAAGCAGCAGCAAGUAGCUCAGUGGGAGAAUGUUUGCCUAGCACGCACGGGGCCUGCCUUUAAUCUUAAGCAUUCUUGAAUAGCAAGUACGAAGGCCCUGGGGCGAGAAGGAACUUGGAAUGUUCAUGAAGCAGCAAGAUGGCCGCUUUGUCUGCUUCGGAGUGAACGCGUGACCAGGGAGGAGAAAGACAGAGCAAACAGCCCUUUGAAGGCUGUGCUUGCUAGUUUUAUAUUGACUUGACACAACCUAGAAUCAUUUUGGAAGAGGGAAACUCAAUUGCAAAAACGUUGCCACUAGAUUGGUCUGUAUACAAGCCUGUGGGACAUUUUCUUGACUGAGGAUUGAUGUGGGUCGGCCCAGCCCACUGUGGGUGGGGCCACCCCUGCGCUGGUGGUCCUGGGUGCUCUAUGAAAGCAAGCUGAGCAAGCCAUGGAGAGCAGGCCAGUAGGCAGUGUUCCUCGUGGCUCGUGACUCCAGGUUCCUGCCUUGAGUUUCUGCUCUGGCUUCCUCAGUGAUGGGUUGUGAUUGGGACAUGUAAACUGACAUUAAAAACAACAAAUAAACAAACAAACCAGAAAGCUUUCUUCUUCAAGCUAUUUCUAGUCAGAGAGUUUCUAUCACAGCAAAAGAAACCUAACUAAGACAAAAAAUUUAAGGAGGAAUCUGUUUUUCAUUUUGUUUUGG